UUUUUAUCAAGAUAAUGAUAAGGAGGACUUCACAGGGUUAACAAAGCUGUGUUUUAUCUGUUGUAUGCAUUGACUCAGAUUCUCGCUUCUACUUUGGUCCAUCCCUUGACACUGUCUCUGUUUAUGUAGAAAUAACUAAUGUUGUUGAAUAUUAGUUCAUGGACAAUGCAUUUAAUUGAAGAAUGAUUGGGGUCUUGCAGGUUAAAUAGUGCUUUUCCUGGCAAAUCCUUUACUUGUAAACCUAAUGCUUUGAUCUACAUGGUGCAUCAUGUUGUAAUUUCAAUGAAUGCAAUAUAGUGAGGUUUCCACUUGAUUAAGUUGAUUUUUUUUGGUGCAGUUUGCCUGAACGUGGUGGAACCCCUGCAAAAGAUCACAAAAUUUAAAGCACAAAUUAUGCUCGGUGGAAAUAAAUUUCAAUCAUUUGUGCUGGUUUGAAAAAUAUUGCGGUAGAAGCUAGAUUUGACUGUAAAACUGGCCCCCUAUCCAGGACAAUUAAUCACCAUCGGGAGUUUCCACCAGCUGUAUUAAUUUGCAGAACUUUGAGGAGACUAAAUGUUAUGCAGAUUUAUUUGGUGCUGAUACAGUAAUGCAAAUGUUUCAAAGGUUUUAAAUGCAUUUUUAUUUCAAAGUUUAUUUAAAAACCGUUCACUCUGUCCUUCUAAAAUGUGGAAAUGCCUCAAUAUAUUUUCUAAAAAGGGAGUUGGUUAGCUCAGCUGGCAGGAUGGCUUGUUUAGCAGUGCAAAGUGACACUAACAGCAUGGGUUCAAUUCCCACUCCAGCUGAGGUUACCAUGAUGAUUCUGCCUUCACACUUCUCCUCUCCUCUCACCUGAGGUGCAGUGACCCUCAGAUUGAACUCACCACCAGGUGUGUCUCUCUAAUGAGAAAGCAGAACUAUGGCAACUUUAACUAUUUUUUCAGUCAUUUAAAAUUAGGUUACUUUUUUUUUGGAAUAAAUCUGUUGUCAGCUGCAAUAAUUGAACUGCAAUACGCCACCACUUUUCAAUAUGUAAAAGAAUAUAUUUAAAACAUCCUUUUUCAGAAAUACUUCAAAACAUAUGAAUAAUGUGACAGGCUGUGACCUAUGACAGGCUUGGUGUUCGGAGAUAUGUAAAUAAUCUUGAGCUGAAACUUGGGAUGAAAAUACCCAUGUAGUAACUACAGUGGUGUUCCAGAAUCCACCACUCCAUCAAUAACCUAUGUAAUCUCGAUAGCCACAAGGCUACAGCUUAACCAUAGGUCAUCUUUUAGCAGGCCUCUCCCUCUACUAUGAUGGCCUGGCAGAUAUGGCCUCUUUUUGUAUUAAAUUUUUAGGAAGUCUUCAGAGCGCGCUUUAUCUGACGGUGCCCUCAUAUUCACUCACCUGUGUUGGCAGCUCCCACCUCUGAUGGUGGGGCUGCCGAUCUCUCAACUCUAGGAGGGUCUUUUAUUGGGAAACCCACCACUGACCUUAAUUGGAUAAGGUGGCUGCUUCUAUGAAGCCACUGCUGCAGAUCUGCGUUCUUGACCCAGAAUUCAUUGAGAUCAGGACCAUGGAACCAAAUUCCAGCCAAAUACUUCUGCGAUUGUUCCUUUCUCUACAUUUAUUCAGAAAUAGUGAAGCAGAUUUUUGUCUCCUGCCGUAAAUAUAACAGGGGAGGGAAGUUAAAAUCCUCAUACUUGAAAAUUAAAAUCUGUUUAGCAAGCUUAUUAGUGAUCUGCCGUUUUCACUUACCAAUGCUUUCUAUCUCGGUAGUCCUUUGGAUUUAAUUUAUUGGCAAGAUCAAAUUACCACUGGCAGCUUUCAUUCACGCGUGCUGAGCGAGAACUAUUAGAGGAUAUGGAUGAAGAUGGAGGCUGCCGCCUAAAGUGUUUACAGGUCAUCAGAAAGCUGAAAGAAGACCAUUGGUGCCCUGGAAAUAAACCAGUCAUCACAUCCUAUCAUCUACAGACACUUUUGUUUUGGACCUGUGAGAAAUAUCCACGCUCUAAAGAUUGGAAAAAUUUCCAGAAAUGCUUUCUGCGGUUGGUAAAGAAACUUCAGAAAUGUGUGUUACAGAGAUACCUGCGACAUUACUUUGUGAAGAGCUUUAACCUUCUUAAAUAUGCUAACACAAAUGAACUGGAUAUUACAUCUCAGAAAAUUAAUGAUUUCUUAAUAAAUCCUGGUGUGUACUUCCAUUAAAUUCCACUGACAUUUUAAAUCAACUGCAAGCUCCAGUGUGUCAAAUCUUACUGACUUUUCAAGUCUCCCCAUCUUUUACCUGAAUUAAAUUGAGUUAUAAGCUAAUAUUAAUACAGUGAAAAGAACAUGAGUAAAAAUAACUAUAAGCAAAUAUCAUGCAAAUAUUUGUACCAGAUUUCUUUCUGAUAUUUUAGUGGAAGUGGAAAUCUCCAUUAAAAUUUGAGAGAAAUGAAUUUAAAAGGACCAUGUUCUGAAGUCAUACAAUAAAAUUGCUGAUAGUGCUUGUAUCCUAUAAUGUGCUGAAAGGUUUAAUACCUUAAGAUUUUUCUUGCUGUGGACUUUAAUGUCUUGAAGAAGAAUCAAAUUUUUCAAAUUAAAUUUUUAUUUGUUCCUGCCA